AACGUACGCUGGCGGCACGCCUAACACAUGCAAGUCGAACGAAGUAGCAAUACUUAGUGGCAGACGGGUGAGUAACAUGUGGGUAUCUGCCCUUUGGCCUGGAAUAACACGAGGAAACUUGUGCUAAUACCGGAUAAGUCUUUACGGAGAAAGCUUUAUGCACCAUUGGAUGAGCCCGCACUUGAUUAGUUAGUUGGUAGGGUAAUGGCCUACCAAGACUGUGAUCAAUAGCUGAUUUGAGAGGAUGAUCAGCCACAUUGGGACUGAGACACGGCCCAAACUCCUACGGGAGGCAGCAGUGGGGAAUCUUGCACAAUGGAGGAAACUCUGAUGCAGCGAUGCCGCGUGAGUGAAGAAGGCCCUUGGGUUGUAAAGCUCUUUCGUCGGGGAAGAAAAUGACUGUACCCGAAUAAGAAGGUCCGGCUAACUUCGUGCCAGCAGCCGCGGUAAUACGAAGGGACCUAGCGUAGUUCGGAAUUACUGGGCUUAAAGAGUUCGUAGGUGGUUGAAAAAGUUAGUGGUGAAAUCCCAGAGCUUAACUCUGGAACUGCCAUUAAAACUUUUCAGCUAGAGUAUGAUAGAGGAAAGCAGAAUUUCUAGUGUAGAGGUGAAAUUCGUAGAUAUUAGAAAGAAUACCAAUGGCGAAGGCAGCUCCUCUGGAUCAUACUGA
rnacentral:rRNA from 1 species